rnacentral:rRNA from 1 species
UACAGAGGGUGCUAGCGUUGUUCGGAAUCAUUGGGCGUAAAGGGCGUGUAGGCGGUUUGCUAAGUCAUGUGUGAAAUCCCUCGGCUCAACCGGGGAACGACGCAUGAAACUGGCAAGCUAGAGUACCAAAGAGGGGGGUGGAAUUCCCGGUGUAGCGGUGAAAUGCGCAGAUAUCAGGAGGAACACCUAUUGCGAAGGCAGCUCGCUGGGACGUAACUGACGCUGAGACGCGAAAGCGUGGGGAGCAAACAGG